AGUGGAUGGGGAGCAACCUAGUUGUGCGUGUGUAAAGGUAGUGCCAAGAAAAGCGGUGAUCAUGAUGAAAAUCAAUUCCCGGUACCCGAAACCGACACAGGUGGGCAAGUAGAGAAUACUAAGGGGCGCGAGGUAACUCUCUCCAAGGAACUCGGCAAAAUGACCCCGUAACUUAGGGAGAAGGGGUGCCACCGAGAGGUGGUCGCAGUGAAGAGGCCCAGGCGACUGUUUAGCAAAAACAUAGGUCUCUGCAAACUCGAAAGAGGAGGUAUAGGGGCUGACGCCUGCCCAGUGCCGGAAGGUUAAAGAAGUUGGUCAGUCUUAGGAUAAAGCUAGCGACUGAAGCCCCGGUGAACGGCGGCCGUAACUAUAACGGUCCUAAGGUAGCGAAAUUCCUUGUCGGGUAAGUUCCGACCCGCACGAAAGGCGUAACGAUCUGGGCGCUGUCUCGGAGAGAGGCUCGGCGAAAUAGGAUUGUCUGUGAAGAUACGGACUACCUGCAUUUGGACAGAAAGACCCUAUGAAGCUUUACUAUAGCUUGGAAUUGUGUUCGGGCUUCCUGUGCGCAGGAUAGGUGGGAGGCGAAGAAGGUAUUCUUGUGGGGAUACUGGAGCCAACGGUGAGAUACCACUCUCAGGAGGCUAGAAUUCUAACUUAAUUAAGGACAGUUUCAGGUGGGUAGUUUGACUGGGGCGGCCGCCUCCAAAAAGGUAACGGAGGCGUACAAAGGUUCCCUCAGACUGGUUGGAAAUCAGUCGCAGAGUGCAAAGGCAGAAGGGAGCUUGACUGCGAGAAGUACAGUUCGAGCAGGGUGGAAACACGGUCUUAGUGAUCCGACGGUGCUGUGUGGAAGGGCCGUCGCUCAACGGAUAAAAGUUACUCUAGGAUAACAGGCUGAUCUCCCCCAAGAGUUCACAUCGACGGGGAGGUUUGGCACCUCGAUGUCGGCUCAUCGCAACCUGGGGCGGAAGUACGUCCCAAGGGUUGGGCUGUUCGCCCAUUAAAGCGGUACGUGAGCUGGGUUCAGAACGUCGUGAGACAGUUCGGUCCAUAUCCGAUGUAGGCGUGAGAAUAUUGAGAGGAGCCUUCCUUAGUACGAGAGGACCGGGAAGGACGCACCGCUGGUGUACCUGUUAUGAUGCCAAUUGUAAACGCAGGGUAGCCAAGUGCGGAGAGGAUAACCGCUGAAAGCAUCUAAGUGGGAAGCCCACCUCAAGAUGAGUAUUCUGGUGUAAGGUCACGGGAAGACGACCCGUAAAUAGGCACGAGGUGGAAGUGCAGAGAUGUAUGAAGCCGAAGUGUACUAAUAGACCGUCGGCUUGA
rnacentral:rRNA from 1 species